rnacentral:lncRNA from 1 species
AUUUUCACUUGCAAAUAUUCCUGAUAGGUCAUAUUUUAAGCUGCUAAAAACUGAUACAAGCUGUUCAUUCUUUCAGGGAUAAGGUGACAACCAGCAAGAGAAAAAAACAAGGUAAUGCACUUGAGACAGUAAGGUAGGCUCUCGGAAAAGGAGGGCUGUGGUGAUCAGAGCCCACGGACGUCCAAAAAUGUGACUUGGCUGGGCCUAAAAGAGGGGAGCGGCUCUUCUAAAAACAAAAUCACCCCCUGGAAAUUAUGUUGGUUGGUUCCUUGGGGCAUUGAACGGUUCUUUUUCAAGUUAUUUACUUGCUCGUUACCGCCAGUCCCAG